AUCAUCUUCAGACACAUUCUUGCUCUCCAUUACUCACGCAUUUUCUCGCAACAGAACUCUAACACUUUGGUUCCCUUUCCCUUUCUCCUUCUCCUAUGAAACAAAAUUCCUGGAGGCCUUGAAAUCUGUGAAGAUCUACACGAGCUUGUCCACUGCCACUUGUCAUUAUAGAAUCUGAGGGUUUCUUAGACCUCAGGAGUGGGGAACUUGAGGACCUUUCAAAGGAAGCGUCCGUCACCGCAUGCAACAGGUGUGCAUCUCCAAGAAGCGAAAUAUGAGAAACAUGCAACUGCCCCUCCCCCCAAGCGAUCCGCCUCAAAUCCAAAGACAAUGUAUGGUGUCCAGAUUGCCUACUUAAGAAAACACAGAGGACAUAUUCUCUCUACAAGGAUAUUCUUCAGUACCCAGUUGGAACUAUGGAUUCAAAAUUUUGAGUGCUAAAUAUUUUGCAGUGUACUUCGAGGGUGUCCACACACUGCUUUCUGGGGGCUGCAGAAACAGCAUUAUGAGCACAUCUCUAUGCACAUUACACCCUGGUGGACACGGAGUGUGCACUGAGAAUACUCCGCACACGCAAUUUUGAUUGAGAAGUUCUGACUUUAAGGCUUGGAAUCCCCAUUUACUAAAUUUAUAAACUUAGAUCAGACUCAUGUACUUGCCCUGUAAGAACCAUGGUCUGUCCUUGGGAAAAUGGCUCAGUACGUCCCACCUGUCCCUGAAGUUCCUGGGAGGAGGAGCAGCCCUUUAUGAAGCUCCUGCAUGAUUGUGAAGCUCGUGCACAAAAAUGGGCCAAGACACUGCAGGAAAGAAAGUAUUUUAGCCAUCUCUUUCCAGAGACGUGGUAUUUUGCCUUCAGAGUCUAGGAAGUCUUUGUCUGAAUAUCCUCUGGAUCGGAGAUGGAAAGGAGAGUCCCGGCAGGCACCCAUUUCGUGGUCUUUCCUCCCUUCUGCAUCAAGUGAGGUGCAGCAUUCUUUCUCUUCAGAAACUGAAUAUGCUGGGAGAGAGGGCCUUCGUUCAUGGAGGUGA
rnacentral:lncRNA from 1 species